CAAACUCAACAUAACGGAGGCGAAGGUAAACCUGCUGCUCGGUCUGUGGCUUUCUGUCAGAUUCAAAGUAAUAGAAGAGUCAGAGAAAGCUGAGAGCAGCGAGUCGGAACACUCAGGAGACACACAGGAGAGUUUGGGAGGCGAUACAGCAGCAUCAAGCUGAAGACAAGAGGAUAUGAACGAGACGACAUAUGAGGAUGCUCUCUGAUGAGACUUCAUGGGAUUUACCUGAAGCAGCAGCACAUGAGCCUGCAGUGGCACAAGGUGUAGAGGAGGAGGACAGAGAUGUACAGGAUGCACUGAUGCACUACGUGUCAUGCAGAAGUUAAAAGUUAUUCUUCUCGUUAUACUUCUGUUUUUCUGUCCCCGGACCGCUAUUGUUUUCUUUAAUGCAAUUCUGACAAUAAACUUUUGUACCUUUUGCA